UAGGGAAUCUUCCACAAUGGACGCAAGUCUGAUGGAGCAACGCCGCGUGAGUGAAGAAGGUCUUCGGAUCGUAAAGCUCUGUUGUUGGUGAAGAAGGAUAGAGGCAGUAACUGGUCUUUAUUUGACGGUAAUCAACCAGAAAGUCACGGCUAACUACGUGCCAGCAGCCGCGGUAAUACGUAGGUGGCAAGCGUUGUCCGGAUUUAUUGGGCGUAAAGCGAGCGCAGGCGGAAUGAUAAGUCUGAUGUGAAAGCCCACGGCUCAACCGUGGAACUGCAUCGGAAACUGUCAUUCUUGAGUGCAGAAGAGGAGAGUGGAACUCCAUGUGUAGCGGUGGAAUGCGUAGAUAUAUGGAAGAACACCAGUGGCGAAGGCGGCUCUCUGGUCUGCAACUGACGCUGAGGCUCGAAAGCAUGGGUAGCGAACAGGAUUAGAUACCCUGGUAGUCCAUGCCGUAAACGAUGAGCGCUAGGUGUUGGGGACUUUCCGGUUCUCAGUGCCGCAGCAAACGCUUAAGCGCUCCGCCUGGGGAUACG
rnacentral:rRNA from 1 species